UACAGAGGGGGCAAGCGUUGUUCGGAAUUACUGGGCGUAAAGGGCGCGUAGGCGGCCGCCUAAGUCAGACGUGAAAUCCCUCGGCUCAACCGGGGAACUGCGUCUGAUACUGGGUGGCUUGAAUUCGGGAGAGGGAUGCGGAAUUCCAGGUGUAGCGGUGAAAUGCGUAGAUAUCUGGAGGAACACCAAUGGCGAAGGCAGCUCGCUGGGACGUGACUGACGCUGAGACGCGAAAGCGUGGGGAGCAAACGGG
rnacentral:rRNA from 1 species